CUUGUAGUCACCUAUUGUCUGUGAAGGUCAAUAUGAUUAUUAAAUGUGUUGAAAUAUUGUUCAACUGCUAGUCUAAGUACAUUUUGCCUGUCUAUAUUCUUUGCAGGGUACUCCAUCUUAUGCACAGUUUAUGUAUGGGGAUGCUGACUCCAAGUUCGCGCCAUCAGUAAAAGGAGUUGCAGCCACUGCUCAUUUCAAUGACCUGCACCACAUAAUCCCUUGGAGGACUGCACACAUCUUCACUUCAAAUUACACCUAUUCCUUCCUUGUCAGCCCAGGCCACAUGUUCUUACGCCUCUACUUCUGUCCGGCUUGGACCUCACCUUUGCCCCAUCAGCACAUCGGAAUGGUUCUUAUGCAUUUGUGAGUGGCAUUGAGAUUGUGCCCUUCAGCACAUCGGAAUGGUUCUUAUGCAUUUGUGAGUGGCAUUGAUUAAAUAAGGAUUCGUCAAGAUACAAGGGGAGAUACAACAUGUUACUAUGUUACCUUUUAAAUCUCCCCCCCCCCCACAGAACUCAUAGUUGUAGUUACAUUUGCUAAAAUCUGAAGCAUGUGGCCUUUUGGAAUAUGCAUCUUUUUUUUGUUCCUAUUUUUUAUUUGUUGGAGGAAAACAUGUAUGUACUCAUAUUUUUGGUUCACCUUUUUUUUAUGUAUUAAUCGUUUGCACGGCACAUGAUGCCUAAUAAUAAGAAAAGAGAUGUGUAUUGAUCAUGAGUUUAGUAUACUUAUUUUCAGCUAUUUAGAGGCUUUAUUAUUGGUUCUGUGGAA